rnacentral:rRNA from 1 species
AUGCAACCGCCGCCCGCGGUGAUGACGGCCUCCUCGUCGGAGAAGAAGGCGGCGAAGCGGAGGAGCGGACCACCGAGGCCCCGAGGGAGGAAGUCGCAGCUCGCCCUCCUCGGGGGGUGCUCACCUGGAAAUGCAUUUGCUCCACAUAUACUGCUUAUCAAUCGGGGAGAGGAUAUUACCUCCAAGAUUAUGCUGUUAUCAGAGCUGCACUCCAAAUCCAUCUGCAUUCUAUCAGCCAAUGGCCCAUUAUCAGCUAUAACUCUCCGUCUAUCUUCACAUUCAGGUGGCCUUGACAAUGCAGUUUACCAGGGUCAGUUUGAGAUAAUUUCACUAAAAGGCUCUUAUCUGCUGUCUGAUGAGGGUGGCUCAGGAAACAGCAAUGGGGGUUUAAGCAUUAUGGUUUCUACUCCUUGCGGCAGCUUGUUUGGAGGUAGCGUUGGAGGGCCGCUGAUAGCUGCAGACCCUGUGCAGGUAAUUGCUGGAAGCUUCAAUUACACAGUGACAGAGGAAAAGGAGGAGCCAAAGACCAGUGACAGCCAACUUAAUGAGCUGAAAGUACCUUGGGAGCUGGAUGCAAUGCCUUAUGAACCAUUUUCACCUUUGCCUCUGUUUGGGUGGUCCAGGAUUGAAGAUGUCAAACUUGAUCGCCAUGACUUCGACCUGACCAAUGGUUAG